UACGGAGGAUCCGAGCGUUAUCCGGAUUUAUUGGGUUUAAAGGGAGCGUAGGCGGGAAGUCAAGUCAGCUGUGAAAUGUAGGCGCCCAACGGCUGCACUGCAGUUGAAGCUGGCUUUCUUGAGUGCGUAAGGGGCAGGCGGAAUUCGUCGUGUAGCGGUGAAAUGCUUAGAUAUGACGAAGAACUCCGAUCGCGAAGGCAGCCCGCCGGGCCGCGACUGACGCUGAAGCUCGAAGGUGCGGGUAUCGAAC
rnacentral:rRNA from 1 species